UGCUCAAUGAUUAAGCCAUGUUUUUAUGGCAAUAUACGCUAUUCUGAAUCAUAUUAAGUAAGAUGUCAUAAACACUAUGAGAGCA
rnacentral:snoRNA from 1 species